rnacentral:rRNA from 1 species
GACGAACGCUGGCGGCGUGCUUAACACAUGCAAGUCGAACGGAAAGGCCCUGCUUUUGUGGGGUGCUCGAGUGGCGAACGGGUGAGUAACACGUGAGUAACCUGCCCUUGACUUUGGGAUAGCUUCAGGAAACUGGGGCUAAUACCGGAUAGGAGCUCCUGCUGCAUGGUGGGGGUUGGAAAGUUUCGGCGGUUGGGGAUGGACUCGCGGCUUAUCAGCUUGUUGGUGGGGUAGUGGCUUACCAAGGCAUUGACGGGUAGCCGGCCUGAGAGGGUGACCGGCCACAAUGGGCCUAAGAUACGGCCCAGUCUCCUACGGGAGGCAGCGGUGGGGAAUCUUGCACAAUGGGAGGAAGCCUGAUGCAGCGACGCCGCGUGCGGGAUGACGGCCUUUGGGUUGUGAACCGCUGUAGCCUGUGACGAAGCGUGAGUGACGGUAAUGGAUAAAGAAGCACCGGCUAACUACGUG